rnacentral:misc_RNA from 1 species
AUCUGAUUGGCAGUGGAUGCUAUUGAUUUGACGCAAUGGUAUUGGUUAUGAAAAUGGAUGGCUUUUGUCCUACAUGUUUCAGAAUUUAUGUGCUUCAGCUGAUUAAAUGGGAAGAAUUUCGGCAAGUGGAUGUUUAGAAGUUGUGCUAAUGAGAAAUUCAUAUAGUUUACAAUUUGGAUUGGGAAUCAUAAAUCUCUUCUCCUGCCAAAGCUCUGCAGCUUCUGUGGGUGGUGGUACUAUUCUCACAACACUUGGUUUGAAAGUUGAGGUCUUCUGCUUAUUGAGCUUUGUUGAAGUCUUG